rnacentral:rRNA from 1 species
AACGAACGCUGGCGGCAGGCCUAACACAUGCAAGUCGAGCGAGGACUUCGGUCCUAGCGGCGGACGUGGGGGGAACGCGGGGGAACGUGCCCUUUGCUUCGGAAUAGCCCUGGGAAACUGGGCGUAAUACCGGAUGAGCCCAUUGGGGGAAAGAUUUAUCGGCGCAGGAUCGGCGCGCGUUAGAUUAGGUAGUUGGUGGGGUACUGGCCGACCAAGCGGAGGAUCCAUAGCUGGUUUGAGAGGAUGACCAUGCACACUGGGACUGCGACACGGCCCAGAACCCUACGCGAGGCAGGAGAGUGGAAUCUUAGACAAGGGGGGAAGCUGUAACAUAGCCAUGCCGGGUGAGCGAGGAAGGCCUUAGUGUUGUAAAGCUCUUUGAGCUGGGAAGAUAAUGACGGUACCAGCAGAAGAAGCCCCGGCUAACUCCGUG